AUUGAACGCUGGCGGCAGGCCUAACACAUGCAAGUCGGGCGAGCGGCGGCCGGGUGAGUAAUGUAUGGGGAUCUGCCUGAUGGCGGGGGAUAACUACUGGAAACGGUAGCUAAUACCGCAUACCAUCAGAUGAACCCAUAUGGGAUUAGCUAGUUGGUGGGGUAACGGCUUACCUAGGCGACGAUCCCUAGCUGGUCUGAGAGGAUGAUCAGCCAAACGGGGACUGAGAAACGGCCCAGACUCCUACGGGGGGCAGCAGUGGGGAAUAUUGCACAAUGGGCGAAAGCCUGAUGCAGCCAUGCCGCGUGUAUGAAGAAGGCUUUCGGGUUGUAAAGUACUUUCAGUCGGGAGGCGUUACCGACAGAAGAAGCACCGGCUAACUCCGUGCCAGCAGCCGCGGUAAUAC
rnacentral:rRNA from 1 species